AGAGUUUGAUCCUGGCUCAGAUUGAACGCUGGCGGUAUGCUUAACACAUGCAAGUCGAACGGAAACGAUGGAAGCUUGCUUCCAGGCGUCGAGUGGCGGACGGGUGAGUAAUGCUUGGGAAUCUGCCUAAUAGUGGGGGAAAACUCGGGGAAACUCGGGCUAAUACCGCAUAAUCUCUUCGGAGGAAAGAGGGCCUCUACAUGUAAGCUCUCGCUAAUAGAUGAGCCCAAGUCAGAUUAGCUUGUUGGUGAGGUAAAAGCUCACCAAGGCUACGAUCUGUAGCUGGUCUGAGAGGACGAUCAGCCACACUGGGACUGAGACACGGCCCAGACUCCUACGGGAGGCAGCAGUGGGGAAUAUUGCACAAUGGGCGCAAGCCUGAUGCAGCAAUACCGCGUGUGUGAAGAAGGCCUUAGGGUUGUAAAGCACUUUCAAUAGAGAAGAAAAGCUUAGAGUUAAUAACUCUGAGCAUUGACGUAACCUAUAGAAGAAGCACCGGCUAAAUCCGUGCCAGCAGCCGCGGUAAUACGGAUGGUGCGAGCGUUAAUCGGAAUUACUGGGCGUAAAGCGCGCGUAGGCUGUUUUAUAAGUCGGAUGUGAAAUCCCCGGGCUCAACCUGGGAACUGCAUCCGAAACUAUUUAACUAGAGUAUGGGAGAGGUAAGUAGAAUUUCCGGUGUAGCGGUGAAAUGCGUAGAUAUCGGAAGGAAUACCAGUGGCGAAGGCGGCUUACUGGACCAAUACUGACGCUGAGGUGCGAAAGCGUGGGGAGCGAACAGGAUUAGAUACCCUGGUAGUCCACGCCGUA
rnacentral:rRNA from 1 species